rnacentral:rRNA from 1 species
GACGAACGCGGCGGCGUGCCUAAUACAUGCAAGUAGAACGCUGAAGGAGGAGCUUGCUUCUCUGGAUGAGUUGCGAACGGGUGAGUAACGCGUAGGUAACCUGCCUGGUAGCGGGGGAUAACUAUUGGAAACGAUAGCUAAUACCGCAUAAGAGUAGAUGUUGCAUGACAUUUGCUUAAAAGGUGCAAUUGCAUCACUACCAGAUGGACUUGCGUUGUAUUAGCUAGUUGGUGGGGUAACGGCUCACCAAGGCGACGAUACAUAGCCGACCUGAGAGGGUGAUCGGCCACACUGGGACUGAGACACGGCCCAGACUCCUACGGGAGGCAGCAGUAGGGAAUCUUCGGCAAUGGACGGAAGUCUGACCGAGCAACGCCGCGUGAGUGAAGAAGGUUUUCGGAUCGUAAAGCUCUGUUGUAAGAGAAGAACGAGUGUGAGAGUGGAAAGUUCACACUGUGACGGUAUCUUACCAGAAAGGGACGGCUAACUACGUGCCAGCAGCCGCGGUAAUACGUAGGUCCCGAGCGUUGUCCGGAUUUAUUGGGCGUAAAGCGAGCGCAGGCGGUUAGAUAAGUCUGAAGUUAAAGGCUGUGGCUUAACCAUAGUACGCUUUGGAAACUGUUUAACUUGAGUGCAAGAGGGGAGAGUGGAAUUCCAUGUGUAGCGGUGAAAUGCGUAGAUAUAUGGAGGAACACCGGUGGCGAAAGCGGCUCUCUGGCUUGUAACUGACGCUGAGGCUCGAAAGCGUGGGGAGCAAACAGG